CCCUCUAUUGAUGAGUGAUAGUCCUGAAUUUAUUUGCGAGCUGGACAAUGAAAAGAUCUAGCACCAUGUAAAUUCAGCAUUUGAGCUCGUCUCACUUGGUUUCC
rnacentral:pre_miRNA from 1 species